AAGUCGUAACAAGGUUUCCGUAGGUGAACCUGCGGAAGGAUCAUUAACACGUCUUAUAUCCAAUAUAUAAACCAACGCGAACUAAACCCCCGCCCUAGCAUCAUUCACGGGUCAUGGAUUUGUUAGAUUAUUAUAUAGCAAUAUAUAUAUAGUUUAACAUUCUCUAUGACCUGAUGUUAGGCUAUUUUUAUAAUUUAAUCAUUACAAACCAUUAUCACACGAAUUGAUCUAAAUACUAAGACAUUCUAGUUUUCAUUCAGUUCACUCUGUAUGAAUACUGCUUGUUGUUAUAUUACGAAAUGUAAAGAACAACUCUUAGCAAUGGAUAUCUUGGUUCUC
rnacentral:misc_RNA from 1 species